rnacentral:rRNA from 1 species
GUGGGGAAUCUUCCGCAAUGGACGAAAGUCUGACGGAGCAACGCCGCGUGAGUGAUGAAGGUCUUCGGAUUGUAAAGCUCUGUUAAUCGGGACGAAAGAGCCUAGUGUGAAUAAUGCUAGGAAGUGACGGUACCGGAAUAGAAAGCCACGGCUAACUACGUGCCAGCAGCCGCGGUAAUACGUAGGUGGCAAGCGUUGUCCGGAAUUAUUGGGCGUAAAGCGCGCGCAGGCGGAUCUGCCAGUCUGUCUUAAAAGUUCGGGGCUUAACCCCGUGAUGGGAUGGAAACUACAGAUCUAGAGUAUCGGAGAGGAAAGUGGAAUUCCUAGUGUAGCGGUGAAAUGCGUAGAUAUUAGGAAGAACACCAGUGGCGAAGGCGACUUUCUGGACGAAAACUGACGCUGAGGCGCGAAAGCCAGGGGAGCGAACGGGAUUAGAAACCCGGGUAGGUCC